UAGUGCAUAUAUUCAAAGGCAUACCAAGUGCACAUUUUCAUAUCUAUGAUCGAUAAACAAUAAUGCCAUGGAUAAAAACUCUCAAUCAAGCAUAUAGAGAAUUCAUAGAGUUAUUCUUAGCAACUUAUCCAAUAGUGAGUAAAUCAUACUAUAAAAUGAAGUGAUUUGAUAAUAUUUUCAAAAGUAUUUUCUAUAUCACAAAAUUGAUCAAUACUUGCAAUUCAUAUUUUAAUCAAAUACUAAAGCAAAAGUAAUGAUG
rnacentral:lncRNA from 1 species